GAGUUUGAUCCUGGCUCAGGAUGAACGCUGGCGGCGUGCUUAACACAUGCAAGUCGAACGAACCUUCGGGUUAGUGGCGGACGGGUGAGUAACGCGUGAGAAUCUGCCCUCAGGAGGGGGACAACAGCUGGAAACGGCUGCUAAUACCCCAUAUGCCGCGAGGUGAAAUGAAUUUCGCCUGAGGAUGAGCUCGCGUCUGAUUAGCUAGUUGGUGGGGUAAGAGCUUACCAAGGCAUCGAUCAGUAGCUGGUCUGAGAGGAUGAUCAGCCACACUAGGACUGAGACACGGCCCAGACUCCUACGGGAGGCAGCAGUGGGGAAUUUUCCGCAAUGGGCGAAAGCCUGACGGAGCAACGCCGCGUGAGGGAUGAAGGCCUCUGGGCUGUAAACCUCUUUUCUCAAGGAAGAAGAUCUGACGGUACUUGAGGAAUAAGCCACGGCUAAUUCCGUGCCAGCAGCCGCGGUAAUACGGGAGUGGCAAGCGUUAUCCGGAAUUAUUGGGCGUAAAGCGUCCGCAGGCGGCCCUUCAAGUCUGCUGUUAAAAAGUGGAGCUUAACUCCAUCGUGGCAGUGGAAACUGUUGGGCUAGAGUGUGGUAGGGGCAGAGGGAAUUCCCGGUGUAGCGGUGAAAUGCGUAGAUAUCGGGAAGAACACCAGUGGCGAAGGCGCUCUGCUGGGCCAUAACUGACGCUCAUGGACGAAGCCAGGGGAGCGAAAGGGAUUAGAUACCCCUGUAGUCCUGGCCGUAACGAUGAACACUAGGUGUCGGGGGAAUCGACCCCCUCGGUGUCGUAGCCAACGCGUUAAGUGUUCCGCCUGGGGAGUACGCACGCAAGUGUGAAACUCAAAGGAAUUGACGGGGGCCCGCACAAGCGGUGGAGUAUGUGGUUUAAUUCGAUGCAACGCGAAGAACCUUACCAGGGUUUGACAUCCUGCGAAUCUCCUGGAAACGGGAGAGUGCCUUCGGGAACACAGUUGA
rnacentral:rRNA from 1 species